rnacentral:lncRNA from 1 species
GUCAAGUGUCUGUGAUGAGCUCAUUGGGUGACUUGGUGCUGCAGCAAGGCGAAGUAAUCGAGAAAAUAAUUCAUCAACUGUGGGGACAGUCGGACUAGCCAAAAUCUGAUCGCAUACUGAGUCGAGAUCAUUAGGAAGCCCAGCAAGGUGAAGUAAGCGAGAGAAUAAUUCAUCAACUGUGGGGACAGUCGGACUAGCCAAAAUCUGAUCGCAUACUGAGUCAAGAUCAUUAGGAAGCCCAGCAAGAGUAAGAACUAGAAACAUUUUUUGUCGCUGCUCUUGCUGCUUUGCAACAAUCGCAGAAACUGUCAUCAACUUCUCAAAUUCCUCCAUAACUGCUUGUACUUGUCCCAAGUAAGUAGACAUAUCUAAUUCAUGUUUCUUUAAAUUUGUCAUCCGCGAUAUCACAUCAUAGAAACGAGAUANN